UACGGGGGGGAGCAAGCGUUGUUCGGAUUUACUGGGCGUAAAGGGCGCGUAGGCGGUCGUGACAAGUCACUUGUGAAAUCUCCGGGCUUAACUCGGAACGGUCAAGUGAUACUGUCGGACUAGAGUACAGAAGGGGCAACUGGAAUUCUCGGUGUAGCGGUGAAAUGCGUAGAUAUUGGGAAGAACACCGGUGGCGAAAGCGCCUUGCUGGGUCUGCACUGACACUGAGGGACGAAAGCUAGGGGAGCGAAAGGG
rnacentral:rRNA from 1 species